GAGCUUGCUCCACCGGAAAAAGAGGAGUGGCGAACGGGUGAGUAACACGUGGGUAACCUGCCCAUCAGAAGGGGAUAACACUUGGAAACAGGUGCUAAUACCGUAUAACAAUCGAAACCGCAUGGUUUUGAUUUGAAAGGCGCUUUCGGGUGUCGCUGAUGGAUGGACCCGCGGUGCAUUAGCUAGUUGGUGAGGUAACGGCUCACCAAGGCCACGAUGCAUAGCCGACCUGAGAGGGUGAUCGGCCACAUUGGGACUGAGACACGGCCCAAACUCCUACGGGAGGCAGCAGUAGGGAAUCUUCGGCAAUGGACGAAAGUCUGACCGAGCAACGCCGCGUGAGUGAAGAAGGUUUUCGGAUCGUAAAACUCUGUUGUUAGAGAAGAACAAGGAUGAGAGUAACUGUUCAUCCCUUGACGGUAUCUAACCAGAAAGCCACGGCUAACUACGUGCCAGCAGCCGCGGUAAUACGUAGGUGGCAAGCGUUGUCCGGAUUUAUUGGGCGUAAAGCGAGCGCAGGCGGUUUCUUAAGUCUGAUGUGA
rnacentral:rRNA from 1 species